rnacentral:rRNA from 16 species
AUUAAGCCAUGCAUGUCUAAGUAUGAACAUUAUACAGUGAAACUGCGAAUGGCUCAUUAUAUCAGCAAUUAUUUAUUUGAUAAUCGAUUCCUACUUGGAUAACAGUCGAAAAUCGAGAGCUAAUACAUGCAUAAAAACCCAACUUACGGGCGGGUAGUAUUUAUUAGAUUGAAACCAUCCCUUUCGAGGUGAUUUUGGUGACUCACAAUAACUUAUCGGAUCGCAUGGGUUUACCCCGGCGAUAGAUCAUUCAAGUUUCUGCCCUAUCAGAUGGACGGUAGUGUAUUGGACUACCGUGUCAGUAACGGGUAACGGGGGUUGAGGGAUCGACUCCGGAGAGGGAGCCUGAGAGACGGCUACCACAUCCAAGGAAGGC